rnacentral:rRNA from 1 species
UACGUAGGGUCCGAGCGUUAAUCGGAAUUACUGGGCGUAAAGCGUGCGCAGGCGGUUUUGUAAGCCAGAUGUGAAAGCCCCGGGCUCAACCUGGGAACUGCAUUUGGGACUGCAAGGCUGGAGUACGGCAGAGGGAGGUGGAAUUCCACGUGUAGCAGUGAAAUGCGUAGAUAUGUGGAGGAAUACCGAUGGCGAAGGCAGCCCCCUGGGAUAACACUGACGCUCAUGCACGAAAGCGUGGGGAGCAAACAGG